CAAAGGAAAGGAAAUAUAUUCUAUCCCUACUGACAUCAGGCCAAGUGAGGGCUCAUUUCCCAAUCCGUUCUUCCUGUGAAUGAGAAAACAAGAUAUCAAAUUUGAGUUCAUUUAAGAUUCCACCCAGUUUAAGCCAUCCAGUUUCAUCCAUACCCAGGAAGAAAAAUAUAUUGACCUAACAGAGAAGGGAAUUUGAAAGCAUUUUAGUGCACUAUUUGAUACAGGCUUUUAAAUAUAAGUCCAACAAAACAAUGUUCUUAGUCUAUAGAUUUUUUUUUUUACUGAAAAAAAUUUUUCCAGAGUUAAUAAUGUUGAAGAAUACUUUGUCUUCAUUAUUUUGCCUAGUUGAUGUAUAGUUGCAUUUUUGGGGGGAGGAGGUAAUAUAUAUAUCACCUUAAUUUAAUUAAGAAAAUAAUUCUGGAUAUGUAAAUUCAUCUGCACUUGUUUUUAGCCAAUAUAUCUGAAAAUCUAAUUUAUAUGUUUUACCACAAAAGGAACACAGUGAUAAGUGCACAGAUGAAAAAAAUCAUUUCAACGGGGUUUCAUUACGGGCCUGAUCUGAAAUAGAAAUUUAGUACAACACAUCAUUCCUAUUUAAAGUAGCACUUGGGGCUUCAAACAUCAUGAAACAUGAUGUUUCAGACAUCAAACAAUUUUAAGAAAUAAAUAUGCAACACAUUUCAAGAUGAACAUCUAGUAUUUACUCUUGGAACGGGGUGCAGUGAGGGAUGGGAAGAAAAUAGGAACAUCUUCCUGGUAAAUACCAGUGCAUGGAUGGUUUUCAGAUAGUAGAGACCCCACAUUCACAUACAGACACACGUACACACACACACACACAAUCUUGGGUGACUAAUCACAAUUCCAUAUGCAGAAGCUCAACAUUAAUAGAGCCAUAGCCCAAUUAAGCCAUAUCCUAUUAUUUAUUUAUAUCUUCUAUACCAAGGGAAAAUUUGAAAUCUUGAUGUACUUACUAUUCCCCAAAGUGCAGUAUACAGAUGCAUCAGAAACUACCAAACUUCCUGAAAUAGUGAGUCCUUUGACAAACUACUUGAAUUCAGAAGGAAACAUCAGAAAGGCCCGUGACAAUCAAUACAAGAGAGCCAUUAAUGGGCCAAGAUUGCUAAGAACACAGAGAAAUGUAAUGAGGGUAUUAAUACUGAUCCCACUUGGAAGCUGUGCUGCGGCCAUCAAAGUGACUGCAGUUGAGUUUCUUAUACUCAGGUUUUCAGCUGGACAGAGAGAUCCAACUGACAGAGAGAUGCCUGUGGUGCUCAGUCUUUUUGAUACGAGUAAACAUCUGAUAUCCUGUCCACUGCCAACUUUUUCACCUCCUCCACCCCAUACUCCCAGUGCCAUUAUUUUAAUUGUUUUAGUCUGCACCAAAAAAAGUCUAUUUAAAAAUUGCCUGUGGGCAGGCGCCUGGUGGCUCAGUCAGACAUCUGACUUUUGAUUUCAGUGUCAGGUCCUGGUCCUGGAGUCCUGGGAUCAAGCCCUACAUCCUGCUCGCUGCUCAGCAGAAGGCUACUUCUCCCUCUGCCCCUCACCCUGCUCAUGUGCUCUCUCUCUCUCUCACUCAAAUAAAUAAAUAAAAUCUUUAAAAAUAAGUAAAUAAAUAAUAAAAAAUUAAAAUUGCCUGUGGGGCACCCCAUUGGUGGCUCAAUCCGUUAAGCAUCUGACUCUUGAUUUCAGCUCAGGUCCUGAUCUCAGGGUCAUAAGAUCAAGCCCCACAUUGGGCUCUGGGCUGAGCAGAAGUCUGCUGGAGAUUCUCUCCCUCUGCCCCUUCCCCCUGUGCAUGUGUGCUCUCUCUCUCUCUCAUAGAUAGAUAGAUAAAUAAAUUACCUACAUGUUUUAAUAGGCUACUUAGCUAUCAUAGUGAAAAAGCAAAGCAAAUUUAGAUAACCUUUGCACAGAAGAAAAAAACAAUUUCUUUGAAAAGAGAUUAUAGGUAGGCUUCGGUUUGUAUAGCACAUGGAGUUUGGAUGUUAAGGCUGAAGGCAAGGCAGUGGGAUGCUGAUGGGUUAAUCAGAAUGAACUAGAGUUUCCAUCUAUGAAUAGGAAAAUCUUUUGACAAUGCAUAAGUGAUUUUUCCCAGUAAUGCAGUUAAUGUUUUCAGAGUCGAUCAUUUCCACCACUGGCCGAUAAUGAUCAUUUAAAAGCAUUAGCUCACGUGACCAGUGCCUCUUGCAAUUCAGAUUAUGGCUUGACAGGAAACUGAAGCUCUCCAUUCUAGUCCUUAAAUUUCAGGGCAGAGGGUAAGAAGAGGCCAUCUCAAGCUCAGGCACUGUGAGUGGCUGUGUGUACAUUUUCCAAAGGAAAGUGGUAGCAUCUGAGCCCGUGUUAUGUCAGCACAGUUCAUUUUAGAGAGGUCAGCAGGAAAGAACUAGGGGAAAUUAUCUGUAGGAAGGACACGAGGGGUUGCUAUCCCUUUGUGUUUGAAUAGCUACUGCAAAACCAUCCGAACAUUAUGCUCAGGUCUUCCAAGGUGGUCUUUUGUUUGUUCCUUUCCUCUACUCAUUGGAACUAAAAUUAAUUACAGUGUUGAUCCCAAGCAUCCAAAGUCAGUGUCUUGCCACCAUGUCUGACAGUAUGAUCUGAAAUAGAAGGAUAAUAGCUUAUAGUGAAUUUUUUAUCAAGGUCUGAAGCUGUGCUUCUGAAAUUUAAGGUGCAUUCAAAAUUCCUGGACUCUUUUAAAAAUGAAAUUUCUGAUUCAGUAAGUCUGGGGUGGGACCUGAGAGCUUGCGUUUCCAGUAAGCUCCCAGGUGAUAGAAAUAUUGCGCUCUGAAGGACACACUUUGAGUAGCAAAACUCUCAAACACCGAAGAUCGGUCCCCAUGGUAGGAAAAUAGUAGACAUCUCAGGAUGGCCCAUGCCAUUCAGAUAGCAGUGGUACAACUCCUUCUGGAAAAGGUCUAAGUUAUGAACCUGUCUAUGUGCUGAAUACUCUUUUAGGUGCAGGUACAAGGUGAAAUUCUCCAUUGGGGACCACCCUACAAGCUCUUGCACCCAUGUUUUGGGGGAGAUGUUCUAUCAGUUGCCUCUCUGUAGUACUUAGUAGAGAACCACUUACGACAAUAAAUGGCAAAGGGGUUAGAGGAAGGGAAUGGUCUCUAGUACUUUCUUAGUACUAAUCCUUGUUGCUGUUGUUUGGCUGGGAAAUUUCUAUCUUAGAUCUUGAGAUGCCCUUCUCCAAAAGAUGAUACAUUAAUAGUAUAUGUAUGUAUAUGUAUGUAUGCAGUCGAUAUAUUACUAGUAUGUAUAUAUUAAUUUGAAUAUAUAUAGUUAAUAGAGUUCAGUCAUUUAACAUACAUACGUAUAGAUAAAUAGAAAAUAGAUAGAUAGAUAGAUAGAUAGUUUGUAUAUGGACAGUUGCUGCUCUUUGUCCAAGUGUGUGUGUGUAUCGUGUGUGUGUAUCUCCACCCAGCUAAAUUUAAAGUAAAAAGAUGUAGUCAUUAGACUUAUAUAGUUUUAUGUGUUUUACAGUCUUGUAAAUCUCUAGAUUUUUAUGAUUUCAUCCAUGUUAACUCUUGAUUAUAAAGAGCUAAGUGGACUAGGAUGCUAAUCUAGGCAAAAGAUUGAAAUUCCUAAAAAAAAAAAAAAGAAAAAAAGA
rnacentral:lncRNA from 1 species